CUGUUAUCUGCUGAUCUGCUUGUAAGUUGUUGUCAGUUUUUAACAUCCAAAUAUGGAUAAAUGUUUUACAUUUGCAGAAUAUCAAAAUUUUUCAUUUUAAUUUGACCGUCCUAGUUUGCGUUAUGUACACUGGGCUCUAUAAUAUAAUCUCCUUUUGGGUGUUAUAGUUUUUGGUAAACUGUUGAAGAGUCAUAGGUUGAGUAAAUUUAAAUUUUUUUGUUUCUUUUGUUUGUCUUUUUCAGAACAGGCAAUUGAUGAGGAGAGUUUUUUGCUUUUAGAUGAGGGGACCAUUAACUGCCUAAUUCCAAAGAUCGGUCUUAGGCUGAAGUUCCUGAAAUACUACAAAGAAUUUAAAGAAAAUGUUGUGCCCUCCACUGCCCCAAUUACAAGCCCAAAUGAGCCCCCAACUCCCACACCUCCUUGCCAAAGAGAAGUUGAUGCAACAAUGCUGGAUCCGGAUACACCUAUUGUUUUGCAUGUCAUCCCAUUUUUUGAUGUCCGCACAAUCCUCACCAACUCAUAUGAAGGCAGGCUGAUUGUUGAGAGUCUUGAUAAGGACAGUUUUGUCACCAUAAAACAGAGACGUUGCAUGAUCAGAAUUUUAGUGUCAUACCUAAUUGAGAAAUUUGGAGAAACACCAAGCUCGGACACAAAAAAGGGUCUAGCAUCUGCCUUGGUACAAGCAUUCCCCUGUCUGCACGAUAAAACUGCUGGUGGUUAUGAAACAUGGUAUGCCCAAUGCCGAAAUAAUAGACCAGUCACUGGGUUCAUUGAAGAGAGACUGAGGAACAUACGAAAGCAACUGAGGCGCUUGAGACGACCACAAGGAGAGAAAGAAGAUGCACCAUGCAGGACAGUCAUGCCAGUAGAAUCAACCAUAUCUAAAGAGAGAGCUGAGGAAAUGAAACAAUGGCUGAGAAACAUCACACAGCCCAUCAGCCAGGUGGAACAGUACAUGUGA
ensembl:lncRNA